CCAAUUGGCGCCAGGUCAGGGACCAGACGAACUGUCCCAGAUCUGGAAGACUAAGCUUUCGCCUAAGAUCAAGAUCUUCCUCUGGCAGCUGGUCAGAGUUGUGGAGGCCCUUAUCCAAGCGAUGGGAUAGGGCGGUGGUGGACCAACUGACGAGGAGAUAUGAAGAACUGGCGGCUCAUCUCCUGAUGAUUACCUAUCCUCCUUGAGGAUGUAUCUUCUAUUAUGUUCAGGCUUGUUGUUGCUGUGCCCGCAGCGUGAACCUCUUUCUCUCCUCUUGUUUCCCUUGUUUUUUCUUGCUAUGGACUUCCGUUUGUUCGGAUUGGUUGUAUUGUUCAUGCUUUUUAUCUAUAAAGCGGGGCACGAAGUCUUUUUGGGUAAA